GCUUGUCUCAAAGAUUAAGCCAUGCAUGUCUAAGUAUAAACAACUUUAUACUGUGAAACUGCGUACAGCUCAUUAUAUCAGUUAUAAUUUAUUUGAUGGUGAUUUACUACAUGGAUAACCGUGGUAAUUCUAGAGCUAAUACAUGCGUAAGAUCCUGACUAACGAAGGGACGUAUUUAUUAGAUACAACCGACCUCCUUCUGGAGCCUUUUGUCGACUCAUAGUAACUUUGCGAAUCGCAUAGCUUUAAUGCUGGCGAUGGGUCAUUCAAAUUUCUGCCCUAUCAACUUUCGACGGUAGGAUAGAGGCCUACUGUGGUGAUAACGGGUAACGAAGAAUAAGGGUUCGAUUUCGGAGAGGGAGCCUGAGAAACGGCUACCACAUCCAAGGAAGGCAGCAGG
rnacentral:rRNA from 1 species